AUUAAGCGCUGUUGUAGGUUUCAUCGUCUAACUUUAAUCAUCCGUCUUAUUUAAAAUAUUUUUAUUGUUAUUAGAUGGUAAAAUAUAAAUAGUACUUUAUGUGUGACUUAACUUUUCAAUUUUUUCAUAAUUUUUUUAAAUAAUAUGGAUGGUUACACGUUGGGCAUGGAAACUUGCUUCACUUAUA
rfam:Oryza glumipatula chromosome 12, whole genome shotgun sequence.